rnacentral:rRNA from 1 species
UGGGGAAUAUUGCACAAUGGGCGCAAGCCUGAUGCAGCCAUGCCGCGUGUGUGAAGAAGGCCUUCGGGUUGUAAAGCACUUUCAGCGAGGAGGAAGGUGGUGAGCUUAAUACGCUCAUCAAUUGACGUUACUCGCAGAAGAAGCACCGGCUAACUCCGUGCCAGCAGCCGCGGUAAUACGGAGGGUGCAAGCGUUAAUCGGAAUUACUGGGCGUAAAGCGCACGCAGGCGGUUUGUUAAGUCAGAUGUGAAAUCCCCGGGCUCAACCUGGGAACUGCAUUUGAAACUGGCAAGCUAGAGUCUCGUAGAGGGGGGUAGAAUUCCAGGUGUAGCGGUGAAAUGCGUAGAGAUCUGGAGGAAUACCGGUGGCGAAGGCGGCCCCCUGGACGAAGACUGACGCUCAGGUGCGAAAGCGUGGGGAGCAAAACAGGAUUAGAUACCCUGGUAGUCCACGCUGUAAAACGAUGUCGAUUUUGGAGGUUGUGCCCUUGAGGCGUGGCUUCCGGAGCUAACGCGUUAAAUCGACCGCCUGGGGAGUACGGCCGCAAGGUUAAAACUCAAAUGAAUUGC